rnacentral:tRNA from 1 species
AAGGAAAUGUGCCCGAAAGUUAAGGGCCACUUUGAUAGAGUAGCACACAGAGGUUAAAAUCCUCUCAUUUCC